GAAGAAAGAAACCUCUGUAUGUAGCAUAAAAUCUUGUUUUGUAUGUAAAGGCUAAGCAUCAAGCAUCUUAGUUGCUCGAUUUCAUUCUUCCAUGAUGUCUUCUAACCAUAAUUAUCUGUCUUCAAAGAGUCGUCUUUUUGAGCAUCUCCAGCAACUUGAAGAUAUUCGAUACUUCCCUGAAACUUCAAGAGAUACAGUCGAGUUCGUUAAACAGGAAUUCAAAUUCCUAGAUUUUUUCCUCAGCUUGCAGAGCUUCACAGAUGAACCUGACAUGCUAGAUGUUACUCAGAAAGUCCGCGACCUGUUUCAGGAUACUGUUGUUCACUUUUCUGAGUUACGUCUGACUGAGUACUUUGAUUUUUGUAUCUUUAUGGUGCAAAACAAGAUUUGGUUGAUUAAGAUGGAAAUUAGAUCCAAAUACUCCUUUCCUAAGAUAUCAUCAUUACCAAAUUUAGCCAAUAUUGCUAUUCCCAAAUUUGCAAAGGAAUUCAUGGAUAUUGUGGUGGGGAAUCUUCGUGAUCUAGUUAAUCUUGGUUAUUGCCAUUCACUUCUUGAUGUUCCGGAAACCAAGAAACACGUAGACCGUGUUGUCAGGGAAUUGAAAUCGCUGCAGAAUUUCGUCUGCUUUGUUUCAGAGAGGUUCAUAGUGCCUGAUCAGAGCCAACAUCAUGUUAAUUUCUUCGCUCAUGCUUUAUCUGUGGCCAGCCACGCGUCAAUGCUUGUCUGGUUGUAUCUUUCAGGCCACGGCUAUGAAGAUCAAGAUGUGGCUUUAGGUGAAAUCAAUGUCCUACUUUUCUUGCAAAUGAAAUUUAGGCCAAUUCAGCCGAGCAUCCGCGAGAUCUACAUUUCAGUCCUGCGAGUUUUAAAGUCGACAAUACAAUCAGGAGGAUGGUGUCCCAACAUCCAACAUGAGCAUGCAAAUGACGUUGAAGCCAACUUUUUGGAAACUGUCAUACACAAUUUGGUGGAGCUGCCAACUAAUAGUAACGCAAGUCAGAGAGUUGCUCUGAAAGAUCACUUGCCAAUCCUUCAAGAGAUGCUCAACCUCUUGAGAGCCAACACCAUCUGUGUGCCAAUACAAGAUCUUGAACUUCUUCGUCAAGAUAUUGACACUGUCAUUGAUGUUGGGCUUUUUGUUUUCUCAUUAUAUCAUGGCGAGGAUGAGAAGGAAGUCAUGGCACCGGGAGAAGUGAAUCCAACACAAGCUCUAGAUUUGUCGGGCAACCUAAAACGUAUAAUUAGCACAAUGAUCAGACUAACCAUUCGGAAGGCGUUCCAAUCCAACUUGCCAAGGAUUCACGGGCUAGGCUAUGUUGACUUCUUUUUAAACAACCUGAAGGAGCUCCAACGACGCCAUUCAGAUUCACUAGAUUAUGUCAGGAACCAACUUCAAAUAAUUCAGAAGGAAUUUGAGAGCUUGCAACCUUUUCUAGAAUCUGUUACAGAAGAGGGACACAAUGACCUCGACAAAAUUCACCGUUGUGCUACACAAUUGAUUGGAAAAGCAUACGAGGUAGAAUACAUAGUUGAUGCUUGUAUAAGCAAAGAAGCUCAUGUCUUGUGCCUCAAGCAUUGUCUCUUGGAUAUCAUGGAGGAGAUCACUCUUCUUCGAGAUGAGGUAGCAGAUAUUCAUGAAAAGGAAAUGGUUGGAGAUGUGAAGAACAGUACUGUCACAGCUCACGCGUCAUCAAGUUUGACACAGUCUCUAAGGAUGGAUGAAGAAAUUGUAGGUUUCAAGGAUGUCACAAAAAAGUUAAAAGACCAACUAAUAAAUGGAACGAAAGGGCGAGAUGUUAUCACAAUUGCUGGUAUGCCGGGUCUAGGCAAGACAACUCUGGCCUAUAGUCUCUACUCUGACAGGUUAGUUGCUUCUCACUUUGAUAGAUGUGCACAGUAUUGUGUGUCUCAAGUAUAUUCACGUAAGGACUUACUAUUGGCCGUACUACAUGAUGUCAUGGGUGAGAACCCACAACGUGAAUUUAAGCGUGCUGAUGAAUUAGCUGAUGAGCUUCGCAAAGCUUUAUUCUCCAAAAGAUAUCUCAUCCUUAUUGAUGACGUUUGGGAAACUAGUGUGUGGGAUGAUCUAGUUGGUUGUUUUCAAGAUGCUAAUAAUGGAAGUAGAGUCAUUCUAACAACACGAAAUCAUGAAGUUGCCAAUUAUGCUAGAUUUCACAGUGAUCCCCUUUUGCUUCGGAUGUUUAACGAUGAUGAAAGUUUGGAGUUACUUCGAAAGAAGGUGUUUGGGGAAGAAAGUUUCCCCCCUCUCCUAACGAAUAUCGGGAAACAAAUAGCAAAACGGUGUGGUGGGUUGCCUCUGUCAGUUUCUUUGGUGGCUGGUAUUCUCCUAAAGAUGGAGAAGAAAGAAGAAUGUUGGGAACAAGUGGCGAACAAUAUAGGUCCUUACAUUCACAAUGACUCUAGGGCCAUUCUAGAACAUAGUUUUCGUGUUCUACCUUAUCAUAUGAGGUCUUGCUUUCUUUACUUUGGAUCAUUUUUAGAGGAUAGUGUGAUUCCUAUUUCAAAGUUAACACGGUUGUGGAUCUCCGAGGGAUUUGUAAAAAGUUGCAACGGCAAGAGCUUGGAGGAUAUAGCAGAAGGUUAUUUGGAGAAUCUUAUUGGAAGAAAUCUAGUGAUGGGAACGAAGAGGAGUUCUCGAGGUAAGAUCAAAGCAUGUCGCAUUCAUGACCUAUUGCAUGAUUUCUGCAAGGAGAGAGCAAAGGAACAGAAUCUUUUCGUAUGGAUAAACCGGGAUCAACAAAAUGUCAAUCCUUCUUCCCUUGCUUACCAUCAAAAGAAGCUUGCUCAUCGCUUAUCAAUUUAUGGUGAACGGUAUUGUAUUGGAGAACCAAGCUUGUCUUGGUCACAUGUUGGCUCCAUAGUUUUGCAUAAAGAUGUCGAUGCAGAAAUAUCACUUGACCCCAUCUCCCUCAAUUUUCACAGCUUCAAAUUCCUCAAAGUGUUGGAUUUAGAGUUCACAAGAAUUGAUUCUUUCCCAUCUGGUCUAGUUUACUUGAGGUAUUUCGCUGCAAAAACUAAAGAGUCCUCGAUGUCAUCAUUCGUAGCCAAUCACCAGCACCUUGAAACAUUGAUAGUAUUCAAUUAUGGAAACGAAAUGUCACUAUCCGUUACAAUGUGGGAGAUGGUUAAACUGAGAUACCUGCUUAUUUCCUAUUGCAGCACCACUACUUUGAUAGAAAAUACCAGAGAAUUAUUUGACGACUCCAAAGAGCUUUAUGAUCUGAAAACUUUUUCCAACCCAAAAUUUUCUUGUGUCCAGGAUGCGGAUUUGAUUUUGAGAAAAACACCUAAUCUUCAGAAAUUGAGAUGCAUAUUCCAUGGUGUCGACUACUUUAAGUACCAUGUAUUGCACUUUCCAUCACAGCUUGAAACGCUGAAGAUUCGUCAUAAAUCAGCAGUUCAUGUUAAAGCCAUUCCCUUUUGCAUAUCCGCUCCAAAUCUCAAAAACUUAACACUAGAGUUCUUUUUCCUGCAUCAUAAGCGCUUAUCAGAAAUUGCUUCGCUUCAGAACCUUGAAGUACUCAAACUGAAUCGCAUUGACUUUGAAGAUAUGGAAUGGGAAGUGAGAGAUGGAGAGUUCCCUCGCCUCAAAGUCUUGAAACUUGAGGGAAUAUUUUGCUUUAAGGAAUGGAUUGUCGCGGAUGAUGCCUUUCCUGAACUUGAACGCUUGAUUUUGCGUGAUUGCGAAUAUCUCCAGGAUAUCCCUUCUUCGUUUGCAGAAUUAUCAUCUCUAAAGUGGAUUGAAGUAAAGGGUUGCAAUAAAUCUGUUGAAAACUCAACAAGGGAUAUUUGGGUAACAAAAGUUGAAGACUAUCAGAUUUCUGAUUUCGAUGCCUUUGUCCACAAGACAGCAGAAAAAAAAUCCAGGUCGAGAGCUACAGGAACCGGAACUAUUCCCUGGCAGAUUGAAGCAAGAGCCAUCAGAGCCAAAUAUCUCAAGUACUAAAGUUUGCAGACCGGAAAAGUUUCCUUUACUGUGUUCAACAACGCUGUCUUUUGUCUCAAAUAUAUCAAUGCUACAUGAAAAUCUGGUGCAAUAGUUGUGAAGCUAUUGGAGUAAAAAUAAAAGUGAAGCUCUUGGCCUAUAUCUGCAAAGAUUUUGCAAGUUGACAUUAGUUGGAGUUACUUGUUUAUGCCUUGUCAAUUGGGGUCAGUUCUGAGAGAGUCGUAUCUGAACAAUUUCGAAGCAAAAGAUACCAUGCUUAUUCUAUCGGAAUGCUAAUGCUAGAACCUUUGGAAGUUUUAUCGUCAGUAGCUGAAAUCCAGACUGUAUGUGAUGCUUAUAUUAAAGAGCGUAUCAUUCGUUGAAGCCAGAGACUGAUCGAAAGGAAUUGACGGACUCUUUUCUGAAAAAACGAUUGCAAGAAACUGUCCUAGAUUAAGUGAUAUAGACCUGAGUACUUUGUAGUUAGGACGUUGACAAGCUAAAACUAUAUUUCUCUCAAUUGUCUGUCAAUAAGGUUUCA